rnacentral:rRNA from 1 species
AUUGAACGCUGGCGGCAUGCCUUACACAUGCAAGUCGAACGGCAGCACGGGAGCAAUCCUGGUGGCGAGUGGCGAACGGGUGAGUAAAGUAUCGGAACGUGCCCAGUCGUGGGGGAUAACGUAGCGAAAGUUACGCUAAUACCGCAUACGAUCUAUGAAUGAAAGCGGGGGAUCGCAAGACCUCGCGCGAUCGGAGCGGCCUACAAAAGGUUAGUUAGUGGGGGGGGUAAAGGCUCACCAAGCCGACGAUCUGUAGAUGGUCUGAGAGGACGACCAGCCACACUGGGACUGAGACACGGCCCAGACUCCUACGGGAGGCAGCAGUGGGGAAUUUUGGACAAUGGGCGAAAGCCUGAUCCAGCCAUGCCGCGUGCAGGAUGAAGGCCUUCGGGUUGUAAACUGCUUUUGUACGGAACGAAAGGGUUUGGCCUAAUAAGCUGAGCUCAUGACGGUACCGUAAGAAUAAGCACCGGCUAACUACGUGCCAGCAGCCGCCGCCG